rnacentral:rRNA from 1 species
GUGUCAGCAGCCGCGGUAAUACGUAGGGGGCAAGCGUUGUCCGGAAUCAUUGGGCGUAAAGCGCGUGUAGGCGGCCUGGUAAGUCCGUUCUGAAAGCCCGGGGCUCAACCCCGGGAGGCGGAUGGAUACUGUCAGGCUCGAGUCCGGAAGAGGCAAGUGGAAUUCCCGGUGUAGCGGUGAAAUGCGCAGAUAUCGGGAGGAACACCAAUGGCGAAGGCAGCUUGCUGGGACGGUACUGACGCUGAGACGCGAAAGCGUGGGGAGCAAACAGGAUUAGAAACCCCUGUAGUCC